GCCUGUUUAUCAAAAACAUCGCUCCUUGACUUAAGUUUAUAGGGAGUCGGACCUGCCCAGUGAAGUAUUUUAACGGCCGCGGUACCCUGACCGUGCAAAGGUAGCAUAAUCAUUUGCCUUAUAAUUGAAGGCUAGUAUGAAUGGUUUGACAAGAAUAAAACUGUCUCUCUAAAGUUUAAUAGAAUUUGAUUUUUAGGUGAAGAAGCCUAAAUAAUAUUAAAAGACAAGAAGACCCUAUCGAGCUUUAAAAAAAUUGGUAGAUUUAAAAAAUACUAUGUAAAAACCUAGCUACUAAAAAUUUUGGUUGGGGCGACUAAGGAACAAAAAAAGCUUCCUUUAUAAUUAGUAUUGCUAACAAGCGUUGAUCCAAAAAAAUUUUGAUUAAAGAAAUUAGUUACCGUAGGGAUAACAGCAUUAUCUUUUUUAAGAGCCCAUAUCGAAAAAAAGGUUUGUGACCUCGAUGUUGGACCAGAAUAUCCUAAAGAUGCAGCAGUCUUUAAUGGUUGGUCUGUUCGACCAUUAAAAUUCUACGUGAUCUGAGUUCA
rnacentral:rRNA from 1 species